GGGGUCGUAAGGUAGCCUGGACUAUCCUCCCAGCAUGGGGCGCUGGAAACCUGAGUUCAAAUCUCAGCGACCCCA
rnacentral:tRNA from 1 species